CCCGACGAUAUUUCUGAGUGUUCUAAGCGAACUGUUAAAACUUUCAACAACGGAUCUCUUGGCUCCAGCAUCGAUGAAGAACGCAGCGAAACGCGAUAUGUAAUGUGAAUUGCAGAAUUCAGUGAAUCAUCGAAUCUUUGAACGCACAUGGCGCCUUCCAGUAUCCUGGGAGGCAUGCCUGUCCGAGCGUCGUUUCAACCCUCGAGCCCCCGUGGCCCGGCGUUGGGGAUCUGCCCAGGCAGUCCCCGAAAACCAGUGGCGGACCCGUUAUAGGCCCUUCCCUUGCGUAGUAGUAAAUCGCCUCGCAUCGGGAGCCGGCGGGCUUCCAGCCUCUAAACCCCCAUCAAGUCCGCUCCGGCGGCACCAAGGUUGACCUCGGAUCAGGUAGGAAUACCCGCUGAACUUAAGCAUAUCAAUAAGCGGAGGAA
rnacentral:rRNA from 1 species